UACGUAGGGGGCUAGCGUUGUCCGGAAUCAUUGGGCGUAAAGAGCGUGUAGGCGGCCCGGUAAGUCCGCUGUGAAAGUCGGGGGCUCAACCCUCGAAUGCCGGUGGAUACUGUCGGGCUAGAGUGCGGAAGAGGCGAGUGGAAUUCCUGGUGUAGCGGUGAAAUGCGCAGAUAUCAGGAGGAACACCGAUUGCGAAGGCAGCUCGCUGGGACGUCAUUGACGCUGAGACGCGAAAGCGUGGGGAGCGAACAGG
rnacentral:rRNA from 1 species